rnacentral:rRNA from 1 species
AAUCUGCUAAAUAAUCGAUAAUCCACGUUAUUUUUUACUUUUAUUAAAAUUUUAUAUACCUCCGUCUUAAGAAUUUAUUUUAUAAUACAAUUCCAAAAAGAUUUCUAAUAAGUUAGGUAAAGGUGUAGACUAUAUAAAAGUUAUAGUGGGUUACUUUAAAUUUUAUUUAAGGAAAAAAGAUCAAAAUUUUUUUACAAAAAGGAUUUAUUAGUAGUGUUUUAAUAAUACUAAAACUCGAAAAAGAUAAUAAAUGUGC